rnacentral:rRNA from 1 species
GACGAACGCUGGCGGCGUGCCUAACACAUGCAAGUGGAGCGACGAACCAGGGCUUGCCCUGGGGCCAAGCCGCGAACGGGUGAGUAUCACGUGGGUAACCUGCCCCGAUGACCGGGACAACCCGAGGAAACUCGGGCUAAUACCGGAUGUGGUGUACACACACAAGUGUGUCCACUAAAGGAAGCUUCGGCCUCCACAUUGGGAUGGGCCCGCGGCCCAUUAGCUUGUUGGUGGGGUAAUGGCCACCAAGGCAACGAUGGGUAGCUGGUCUGAGAGGACGAUCAGCCACACUGGGACUGAGACACGGCCCAGACUCCUACGGGAGGCAGCAGUGGGGAAUCUUGCGCAAUGCGCGAAAGCGUGACGCAGCAACGCCG